AUUUCUGAUGAUGCGUGAAGAGGGUUCCAACAACCUCCUGCCUGCUGCUUGAAAAUGCUAAGCUUACUGCUCGCAUAUCGAGGUGAUAGCACACAAUUAACUGAAGAAUGCUUGAAAAACUUCCGAGUUUCUUCAUCAUGAGUUUGCAUUACUCCGGUCUGCAAUCAAAUGAUACUUUUAAGGUUGUAGAAAACUCAAUAAACCAGUAUCUCUGUUCAAGAAACAUGAAUGUGCAAAAUUCACUAAAAGUAAAAUAAAAGCAAAGUGAUUGAAUUUAGGGCCCGCUUCUU